UGUGCCUGACCACAAGACCUUGAGUUAGGAGCCAUCCACCAGGAGAUCACUUCAUGUGCUUCCACUCCACUGAUGCCUGUGCAACAGCAGUAUCCAGUAAUGCAAAAUAGAGUAUUAUCUAGAAUGCAUGUAUCAGGCACGCAUGGUAGCGCCGGCGACCUGGCCUGGGUCCUGCAGUUCAGAAGCCUCCUGUCUAAUGGUGGUCAACACUAACUGCUCUGUGGGCGCCAGAAAGGCCGCGGCGGGAGAAAACGACACACACAAGACAACAAGUCAAUAUACACAUACCGCACACAACAACUGCAACUGUGUUUGUAUGUGCCUGUCGCUAGAAGCAUUAAUAGUGAGAUGAGAUUCAUGCUUGCAUAUGAAAGAUGUAGGCCUGAAAAAUUAAACACAGAAAUGGACUUGAAAUGAAAUGUAACCUUGUUGCUUGCCCUGGACUGCCCCACUGUGUCCAGCUUAUGUAAAUACCUCCAUGCUGCAAUUUAUUAGACCUCUCUCUAUCUCCCAAAUGGUUAUCAUCAGUAGCUUGGCAUCCAUGACGACCAGUCAUUAUCUUUCCAAAACAGACGUAUUGUUGACAGUUGGCUGAGCUGCAUGCCUCGCAUAGACUAGACACACCAAAUACUGGGACAAGAUACGCCUUUGCCUUUAAAUACAAACCCUGUGGAGUGUCCAAGACAAUCUGCAAAAACUUUAAGACAUCUUCAAUACAGUUUUUAUAGCUUUAUAAUGUGAUAUUAUUCUAAAAUACGUUUUUUUCUACAGUGUAAUGUGUAUAAGUGCUUUAUGUGUCUGUGAGUAUUCGUGUGUAAAAGGUGCUAUUAGAAACAUGACAAAAUACUCAAAUGUUGGCCAGAGUUAGUAUCAACCACUAUUUAUGGUCUUGUUAUAUCAAAACUAAUUAUUCCUCUGUGUGUGAAUGAAUUUGAGAGUGUUUGAGUAAAUGUAACAGAUUGGUAGCGGCAGACGUCAUCACCAGGGAUGUGGCAGCUCGCUAAUUGGAGCAAAGAAUCAAGAGGUCAAGCUUCAAGAGAUUACAGUAAAGGCAGCAUAGAGAAUCCAGGAGGGAACACAUGUACAUACACAUGUACUGACUGACACUUAUACUGGCGUACCUCUCCACAUUCAUCCUAUGCUUUAAAUAUGGCAGUGGUAAACACUCUUAUACAACUUUAGAUGCUAUGAAACCAAAAAAGUCUCCACUAAAGUUACUGAAAGUCGCACAUUUAUUGCUCUGAUACAAACAAGAGGAAAACUAGUGAAUCUCAUAACUGAAGGUCUGCUGCAUGACUGGGUCAAUAUCACAUAAUAGACAUCUUAAACAACUGACAACAGCAGUGUGAUUCAUUUGUGAGGCCAUCUGAUAUUCUAUUUAAACAAAAAAUACAAAUGUGGUGAGUAAAAGAGAGUUAUGUUCUUAAUUAUCACUAUACUGUAUAUGCUUCUACCUUUUGAAACUGGUGCGGAACGCUUUUAACUUUUGUUAACUUUCUUCUGGCAAAAAUGUGCCAAAAAUGUGGGAAACUCUGGCCUAAAGACAGUGUGGCCCAGUUGGCGCUCAUCUCUGCUCACAUUUUGUCCUGCUUUCUAUUUCUGGAAGCUGCAUGAGGCAUGCAGCCACACACACACACACACAACAGCAAUGCAGCCCAAUGUGCCAGUCACUAUUAAAAGCCACUGGAUGAGCCAAACGCAUGCUCCUCUCUUCCAGGACAAUCCAAACCAGUGUCAGUUUGCCAUGUGUAAGAGAAGAGAGAACUCCCGCACACUGUCCUUUUACUUGCAAUAAACUUUAUUAGAGAUA